UAUUCCCUGGGUUGUUAGCCAGUCGAUCUGUCCUCGACCCUAUAAGCGAAACCCAGGGGGUCUUUUUCCGGGCCGAUGAGCAUGUCCGCUUUGCGGGAAGCCUGACGGUCAGUUAGAGACCUCCGCCUUGAACCGCUGGGUUCAAGAGGGCCGCCCGACAGCGGCAACUUGGGGAACUC
rnacentral:other from 1 species